rnacentral:tRNA from 1 species
GGGGCUGUAGCUUAGCCUGGCUGGAGCACUCGACUGAUAAUCGAGAGGUCGGAAGUUCAAAUCUUCCCAGCCCCA